AGAGUUUGAUCCUGGCUCAGGACGAACGCUGGCGGCACGCUUAACACAUGCAAGUCGAACGAGAGAAGAGAAGCUUGCUUUUCUGAUCUAGUGGCGGACGGGUGAGUAACACGUGAGCAAUCUGCCUUUCAGAGGGGGAUACCGAUUGGAAACGAUCGUUAAUACCGCAUAACAUAAUUGAACCGCAUGAUUUGAUUAUCAAAGAUUUAUCGCUGAAAGAUGAGCUCGCGUCUGAUUAGCUAGUUGGUAAGGUAACGGCUUACCAAGGCGACGAUCAGUAGCCGACCUGAGAGGGUGACCGGCCACAUUGGGACUGAGACACGGCCCAGACUCCUACGGGAGGCAGCAGUGGGGAAUAUUGCACAAUGGAGGAAACUCUGAUGCAGCGAUGCCGCGUGAGGGAAGAAGGUUUUAGGAUUGUAAACCUCUGUCUUCAGGGACGAAAAAUGACGGUACCUGAGGAGGAAGCUCCGGCUAACUACGUGCCAGCAGCCGCGGUAAUACGUAGGGAGCGAGCGUUGUCCGGAAUUACUGGGUGUAAAGGGAGCGUAGGCGGGAUCGCAAGUCAGAUGUGAAAACUAUGGGCUUAACCCAUAAACUGCAUUUGAAACUGUGGUUCUUGAGUGAAGUAGAGGUAAGCGGAAUUCCUAGUGUAGCGGUGAAAUGCGUAGAUAUUAGGAGGAACACCAGUGGCGAAGGCGGCUUACUGGACGAUAACUGACGCUGAGGCUCGAAAGCGUGGGGAGCAAACAGGAUUAGAUACCCUGGUAGUCCACGCCGUAAACG
rnacentral:rRNA from 1 species